ensembl:lncRNA
UAUCUUCUCCGCCUUUUUGGUUUUAACCCAGGUAUGUUUAUGUUCAGAGUGGGCUUUACUUUCAUGGCUGCCUUGGGGCUUCUGGUUUACAUGUUCCGUUGUUCACUGUGUACCUUCUGGAAAUAUUUUAUCAUUUCAUGUACAGGUGAAAGUCCAAGACCAGAGGACUUCCGCUUCCUUCUUCUGGCCUGUGUUGGCGCACCUCUCCCAGUGCCCGUGGGACUCGAACUCACAACUCCGAGAUCAAGAGUCAUGGGCUCCUCUGCCUGAGCCAGCCAGGUGCCCCAGUACUAUCAAUUUUACAUCUAGAAAGACCCCUCCAAGUCUGUCUACAGGUGUUUACUCUAAUGAGUUGUGGUAUACACAUAAAAUGGAAAACUGUAAUAUGUACAAAUAUACAAUGGCUUUCUUUGUGCUGGUUCCAGGGAUGCUCGUGGGGCACCUGGGGGUCAGUCAGGGGAGACUUCAACUCUUGGUUUCAGCUCAGGUCAUGAUCUCACAGUUGUGUUUUCAAGUUGUGCUUCGGGCUCUGUGCUCGGCAUGGAGCCUGCUUAGGGCUCUGUCUCUCCCUUUGCGUCUGCCUUUCCCUUGUGUGUACAUAUUCUCUCUCUCCAAAAAAAAGGGGGGGAGAUAUUGUUAAGUGGAAAACGCACACUGUAGAUAGGGUACAUAUUACAUGCCUUUUGAAUAGCAAUCAGGGUGGGGAAUACACAUCUAUAUCAUGCUUAUAUAUAGGUGCAUAAAGAAACUGGACUGAUGCAUAAAGAAAUAAAAGAAAUGGGAGUUUCUGUGGGGGAAAUAAAUGAGAACUAGGCCCAUAGUAGCCAGGAAUGGAGAGAAUUUACUAACUGCCUGUUUAAUGCUUCUUGACUUUUGAACCACAUGAAUAUACUACAGAUUCUUAAUUAAUUCAAAGAUACAAACACUUUUGAAGAAUUUAGGAAGGGAAAAUAUUUAGUUACAAUAAGAAGAUCUUUAUACACAUUGAGUGUUACAACUCUGCAAAAUAUAUGUACACAUGUACAAAGAGUUAAAGAAAGGUAGAAAAAAUUAAAACAAUUUAUUUGCUAGGUUGAUAAAGUUUUUUAUAUUCUAGCUGCUGUAGUAAUAGUUGUAAAAAUGUACUGGAGAGUAGGAGCACCUGGCUUCGGCUCAGGUCAUGGUCUCACAGUACGUGAGUUCAAGCCUCCCAUCGGGCUCUGUGCUGACAGCUGGGAGCCUGGAGCCUGCUUCACAUUCUAUGUCUCCCUCUCUCUCUCUGCCCCUCCCCCACUUAACUCUGUGUCUCUCUCUCUCUCUCUCUCAAAAAUGAACAUAAAAAUAAAAAACGUUUUUUCAUGUAUUGUAAAGCAAGUAGAUUAAUGAAAACAAAAUAAAUGCAAAUACAUGGUUGGCAGGUGAUUUUUCUUCCUGAUCUUCUUACAAUUACCGGUGAAUGGCGUUCUUCUCCUCUUUUUGGUUUUAGUUUCCAUAACGCCUCCCCCUUCAUCCUUUCAGGAGACUCUGCAUAGACUCUGCAUCCAAGCAGGGCAGAGCAGCCGGUCCCGGGGAAGGGAAGCACAAGCGGAAGAAGCGGUCACAGCUGCGGGACAGCCUUCCGUCCCCACUUCCGAGGGGACGUCUGGGACACACAGCCCUGGGGCCCUUGGCUCACCUCCGCUCCGUGGGCCCCCAGUCUGUCGUUCCCGGCUCCUUCCCUGGUCCCCCGCCCUGCCCCGUGUGGGAGGAGGACAUGC